rnacentral:rRNA from 1 species
UGGGGAAUAUUGGUCAAUGGAGGGAACUCUGAACCAGCCAUGCCGCGUGCAGGAAGACGGCCCUCUGGGUUGUAAACUGCUUUUAUUCGGGAAUAAACCUAUUUACGUGUAAAUAGCUGAAUGUACCGAAGGAAUAAGGAUCGGCUAACUCCGUGCCAGCAGCCGCGGUAAUACGGAGGAUCCAAGCGUUAUCCGGAUUUAUUGGGUUUAAAGGGUGCGUAGGCGGCUUAUUAAGUCAGGGGUGAAAGACGGUGGCUCAACCAUCGCAGUGCCCUUGAUACUGAUGAGCUUGAAUACACUAGAGGUAGGCGGAAUGUGACAAGUAGCGGUGAAAUGCAUAGAUAUGUCACAGAACACCGAUUGCGAAGGCAGCUUACUAUGGUGUGAUUGACGCUGAGGCACGAAAGCGUGGGGAUCAAACA